UACGUAGGUGACCAGCGUUGUCCGGAUUUACUGGGCGUAAAGAGCGCGCAGGCGGUCGUUCAAGUCGAGUGUGAAAGCCCCCGGCUCAACUGGGGAGGGUCAUUCGAUACUGAUCGACUGGAAGGCAGGAGAGGGAAGCGGAAUUCCCGGUGUAGUGGUGAAAUGCGUAGAUAUCGGGAGGAACACCAGUGGCGAAGGCGGCUUCCUGGCCUGUUCUUGACGCUGAGGUGCGAAAGCGUGGGGAGCAAACAGG
rnacentral:rRNA from 1 species